UGCCAUUCGUUGAUCGCCGCCCAGAAAGUUUGCUGGUUGAUCUCUGGUCGGAGCGCUUCCCAGACCCGUUCCGAGUGCUAGAGCAGAUCCCAUUUGAACUUGACAAAGAAGACGGCGUGGCACUCUCUCCAGCAAGGGUGGACUGGAAAGAAACGCCAGAGGGUCAUGUUAUAAUGUUAGAUGUGCCGGGAUUAAAGAAGGAAGAGCUGAAAAUCGAGGUGGAGGCGAACCGAGUUCUGAGAGUGAGUGGAGAGAGGAAGAGGGAAGAAGAGAAGAAAGGGGAUCAUUGGCACCGAGUUGAGAGGUCUUACGGAAAAUUUUGGAGGCAGUUCAGGCUGCCAGAGAACGUGGAUUUGGACUCUGUCAACGCCAAGUUGGAGAAUGGGGUUCUCACUUUGACACUGGCCAAGUUAUCCCCUGAUAAGAUCAAAGGUCCUAAGGUGAUUAGCAUCGCUAGCACUGGAGGACAUGAGGACGAAC
rnacentral:lncRNA from 1 species